CAGAUUUUGCUAGUAUAAAAACUAACGGUGGGGUCCGGGUAAGAAGUUCAAACUUUCUGUAAGCACAUCCUCAACAAGAAUUCUAUUCUAUUUAUAUUUACUCAUGUCACUAUUAUAGGUGUUUAAGGCUAUUUUAAACCAGUAUGAAAAGAAAUUUCAGCAUAAAGUGGUCUUGUAAGUUGAAAUUUGAAAUUACCAAAACGCACAUCCUCAUACUUGCACCAUAUCAAUAC